GAUGAACGCUGGCGGCGUGCCUAAUACAUGCAAGUCGAGCGAACAGAUGAGGAGCUUGCUCCUCUGACGUUAGCGGCGGACGGGUGAGUAACACGUGGAUAACCUACCUAUAAGACUGGGAUAACUUCGGGAAACCGGAGCUAAUACCGGAUAAUAUAUUGAACCGCAUGGUUCAAUAGUGAAAGACGGUUUUGCUGUCACUUAUAGAUGGAUCCGCGCCGCAUUAGCUAGUUGGUAAGGUAACGGCUUACCAAGGCAACGAUGCGUAGCCGACCUGAGAGGGUGAUCGGCCACACUGGAACUGAGACACGGUCCAGACUCCUACGGGAGGCAGCAGUAGGGAAUCUUCCGCAACGGGCGAAAGCCUGGCGGAGCAACGCCGCGUGAGUGAUGAAGGUCUUCGGAUCGUAAAACUCUGUUAUUAGGGAAGAACAAAUGUGUAAGUAACUAUGCACGUCUUGACGGUACCUAAUCAGAAAGCCACGGCUAACUACGUG
rnacentral:rRNA from 1 species